rnacentral:rRNA from 1 species
GACGAACGCUGGCGGCGUGCUUAACACAUGCAAGUCGAACGGUGAAGCGCCUUCCUUUUUGGUGGGUGUGGAUGAGUGGCGAACGGGUGAGUAACACGUUAGUAACCUGCCCCCUUCUUCUGGAUAACCGCAUGAAAGUGUGGCUAAUACGGGAUAUUCUGGGUCUGUCGCAUGAUGGGUCUGGGAAAGAUAUUGUUUCGGUGGGGGAUGGGCUCGCGGCCUAUCAGCUUGUUGGUGGGGUGAUGGCCUACCAAGGCGGUGACGGGUAGCCGGCCUGAGAGGGUGGACGGUCACACUGGGAAUGAGACACGGCCCAGACUCCUACGGGAGGCAGCAGUGGGGAAUAUUGCACAAUGGGCGCAAGCCUGAUGCAGCGACGCCGCGUGAGGGAUGGAGGCCUUCGGGUUGUGAACCUCUUUCGCCAGUGAAGCAGGCCUGCCUCGUUUGUGGGUGGGUUGACGGUAGCUGGAUAAGAAGCGCCGGCUAACUACGUG